GAUGAAGAACGCAGCGAAAUGCGAUAAGUAGUGUGAAUUGCAGAAUUCAGUGAAUCAUCGAAUCUUUGAACGCACAUUGCGCCCCUUGGUAUUCCAUGGGGCAUGCCUGUUCGAGCGUCAUUUGUACCCUCAAGCGAGUCCAGCAUCUAGGUGCUGGGCCUCGCCCGGCGUUGGAGCACUACGGGAAGCCCUGUGCUGUCCCCCGUAGGCCCCGAAAUGAAGUGGCGGUCCUGCCGCGGCGCCCCCUGCGUAGUAUAACAGCUCGCUUCGGGACCCGGUGGAGGCCUGCCGUCAAACCUAUACUCUCUAAGUUUGACCUCGGAUCAGGUAGGGUUACCCGCUGAACUUAAGCAUAUCAAUAAGCGGAGGA
rnacentral:misc_RNA from 1 species